CUACGGGCCGCUCCAGUGAGGAAUAUUGCACAAUGGGGGGAACCCUGAUGCAGCAACGCCGCGUGGAGGAUGACGCAUUUCGGUGUGUAAACUCCUUUUAUAUGUCAAGAAAAUGACGGUAGCAUAUGAAUAAGCACCGGCUAACUCCGUGCCAGCAGCCGCGGUAAUACGGAGGGUGCAAGCGUUACUCGGAAUCACUGGGCGUAAAGGACGCGUAGGCGGGUUGGAAAGUCAGGUGUGAAAUCCUACAGCUUAACUGUAGAACUGCACUUGAAACUUCUAAUCUAGAGUAUGGGAGGGGGAGAUGGAAUUAGUGGGGUAGGGGUAAAAUCCGUAGAUAUCACUAGGAAUACCUAAAGCGAAGGCGAUCUCCUGGAACAUUACUGACGCUAAGGCGUGAAAGCGUGGGGAGCAAACAGGAUUAGAUCCCGCGUAGUC
rnacentral:rRNA from 1 species